UACGAAGGGGGCUAGCGUUGCUCGGAAUCACUGGGCGUAAAGCGUGCGCAGGCGGCUUCUCAAGUCAGGGGUGAAAGCCCAGAGCUCAACUCUGGAAUUGCCUUUGAGACUGAGUGGCUUGAGUACGAGAGAGGUGAGUGGAAUUCCCAGUGUAGAGGUGAAAUUCGUAGAUAUUGGGAAGAACACCGGUGGCGAAGGCGACUCACUGGACACGUAUUGACGCUGAGGUGCGAAAGCGUGGGGAGCAAACAGG
rnacentral:rRNA from 1 species